UUUGGAAAACUUAUUGAAAAUGCACCAUAAGGUACUCUCAUUCACUCUGAUAAUGACCUAUAUACCCUUAUUUUUGUAUGCACUGUUCUAACUAAUUUUUAAGCACUGUUUAAAACUGUGUAUAAUUUGUAUUAAAACAGAUGAAUCACCAAAGAAAAGAAAAACUCAAAGUUCUAAUAGUGGCCUGGGUGCAGUGUAUUCGAAUUAUCAACAGUGCUCCUCAAAUAAAGAAAAUAAAAGAAAAAGAUUUUACUUUCUAUGAGUACCCACAGCAUCUUCAAGCAGAACAAUGGAAAUUGAUCAGACCAGACAGUCUGGAGAAUUUACCAUGGAUAGAAGUAACUAAAGUGACAGCAACACAUUCGAUUGGUUUAAUGGAUAUUUUGGACAGGAGUAGCAGACUGGUACAUUGAUUCCAAAAUCUUGAACAAACAACAACUGAACACAUUCUUGUCUCUUUUAAGUGGGAUAAUGUUAAUCUUUACAAAAUGCCAGCACAAUUGAAAUUAAUAUGGGAUAGUUGAAAGAAGAAAUUUCAAAAUGAUACAUAUUAUCACAAUGUUGAAUUUAGACAAUCUCUAUUUUUGUGAAACAGUUUUUUUAAACUUUAAAUACUGUGAUGAUCUACAAAACAUUAUUAAAAGAUGAACAUGUAAGUCUCAAGUGUGAUCCAGUUUUUAACCGCUUUUCGCUUGAAAAAAAAUCAAGCUUUUUUAAAUUUAUGAAGUGACAACAAUUGUUUUUACUGGAUUUACAUUGAAUAAAUAAUAUUAUCCAGACAUUAAAAUAAAAA